AUGGUGACACUGGGGACAUGGACACGGUGUCACUGCCCUUGUCACACUGCCAUUUGUCACAUGCCCAUCCCAACCCCCCACCUGUCCCCCUGCGUGUCCCUUGGUCACCCCAUCCAUCCAUCCAUCCAUCCAUCCAUCCAUCCAUCCAUCCAUCCAUCAUCCAUCCAUCCAUCCAUCAUCCAUCCAUCCAUCCAUCAUCCAUCAUCCAUCAUCCAUCCAUCCAUCAUCCAUCAUCCAUCCAUCAUCCAUCCAUCAUCCAUCCAUCAUCCAUCCAUCAUCCAUCCAUCAUCCAUCAUCCAUCCAUCAUCCAUCCAUCAUCCAUCCAUCCAUCCAUCAUCCAUCAUCCAUCCAUCAUCCAUCCAUCCAUCCAUCAUCCAUCCAUCAUCCAUCCAUCAUCCAUCCAUCAUCCAUCCAUCCAUCAUCCAUCCAUCCAUCCAUCCAUCCAUCAUCCAUCCAUCCAUCAUCCAUCAUCCAUCCAUCAUCCAUCCAUCAUCCAUCCAUCAUCCAUCCAUCAUCCAUCCAUCCAUCCAUCCAUCAUCCAUCACCCAUCCAUCCAUCAUCCAUCCAUCCAUCCAUCAUCCAUCCAUCCAUCAUCCAUCCAUCAUCCAUCCAUCCAUCCAUCAACCAUCCAUCAUCCAUCCAUCCAUCCAUCCAUCAUCCAUCCAUCAUCCAUCCAUCCAUCCAUCCAUCAUCCAUCCAUCAUCCAUCCAUCAUCCAUCCAUCAUCAUCCAUCCAUCCAUCCAUCCAUCAUCCAUCCAUCAUCCAUCCAUCAUCCAUCAUCCAUCCAUCAUCCAUCCAUCCAUCAUCCAUCUAUCCAUCCAUCAUCCAUCAUCCAUCCAUCAUCCAUCCAUCUAUCCAUCCAUCCAGCAGGCACAGUCGGGGGCGGGGCCGCUCUCUGUCGCGACUCAGCGAUGUCGCCGACACCGGGAGGAGCCUCUCGCCUCCCCCAUUCCCCGCUGGCCGCGGGGCGGGCAUGGAGAGAUCGGGGUCGGGAAGGGAAAGGCCGGAAUCGAUCCCCGCCCCAUCGGCAUGAUCGAUCCCCGCCCCGAUCGUGAUCGAUCCCCGCCCUAUCGGGACGAUCGAUCCCUGCCCCGGGGCUCGGUUGCGCCGCUCCCUGGCUCCCGCUUUUCCCGUGUGGAUCGCUCCGGGAGCGGCGUGCGGGAGCCGCGUCCCCCCGCUGCCAUCCCCGUCCUCCCUCCCACCUCCAGCGGCCGCACCGGCCCCGGAAUUCCCGCAUGGAUCGGGAACAGCGGCACGGGAGGCUCCGACCUUCUCCUCCUCCAUCCUCCCAGGGAAGCGCGGCCGGGACGGGGAGAGCCGCGCCCCGACGGCAUCGCCGCCGCUCCGGGGAAAAACCGGCAACCGCAGAGCAGCACCGGCGGCUCCGCGUCUUUUUUUGGGGUUAUUUCUCUAUUUUCGGGGGGUACCGGCGGUGCGGGAGCGGCCGCGGGCGGUGCCGGCCGG
rnacentral:lncRNA from 1 species